rnacentral:rRNA from 1 species
CAAUAGCGUAUAUUUAAGUUGUUGCAGUUAAAAAACUCGUAGUUGGAUUUCGGUUGAGAACGGCCGGUCCGCCGUUUGGUGUGCACUGGCUGGUUUCAACUUCCUGUAGAGGACGUGCUCUGGCUUCACGGCUGGACGCGGAGUCUACGUGGUUACUUUGAAAAAAUUAGAGUGUUCAAAGCGGGCUUACGCUUGAAUAUUUCAGCAUGGAAUAACACUAUAGGACUCCUGUCCUAUUUCGUUGGUCUCGGGACGGGAGUAAUGAUUAAGAGGAACAGUUGGGGGCAUUCGUAUUUCAUUGUCAGAGGUGAAAUUCUUGGAUUUAUGAAAGACGAACUUCUGCGAAAGCAUUUGCCAAGGAUGUUUUCAUUAA